rnacentral:rRNA from 1 species
UUUUAUGGAGAGUUUGAUCCUGGCUCAGGAUGAACGCUGGCGGCGUGCCUAAUACAUGCAAGUCGAGCGAACGGACGAGAAGCUUGCUUCUCUGAUGUUAGCGGCGGACGGGUGAGUAACACGUGGAUAACCUACCUAUAAGACUGGGAUAACUUCGGGAAACCGGAGCUAAUACCGGAUAAUAUUUUGAACCGCAUGGUUCAAAAGUGAAAGACGGUCUUGCUGUCACUUAUAGAUGGAUCCGCGCUGCAUUAGCUAGUUGGUAAGGUAACGGCUUACCAAGGCAACGAUGCAUAGCCGACCUGAGAGGGUGAUCGGCCACACUGGAACUGA